rnacentral:lncRNA from 1 species
UAUUAUGAAUGGCAUAGAACUUCUCCUUUUCUACCAAGAUCGAUAGAUUUCAUCUAGAUGCAUCCUACUCCAAACAGCGAACUUGAACCUACAUAGCCAAUAUACACAACAAGGACCCAUAUGGCUAGGGAUCAAAGAAACGUACAGUCAAACUAUGUAGCCUUACUACGAAUAGCCAACACAUCGCAGGUCAAAAGACUAGUCAUA